UACGGGGGGGCAAGCGUUGUUCGGAAUUACUGGGCGUAAAGGGCGCGUAGGCGGUCGUUCAAGUCGCGUGUGAAAGCCCCCGGCUCAACUGGGGAGGGUCACGCGAUACUGAUCGACUCGAAGGCAGGAGAGGGAAGUGGAAUUCCCGGUGUAGUGGUGAAAUGCGUAGAGAUCGGGAGGAACACCUGUGGCGAAGGCGGCCCCCUGGGCCGGCCCUGACACUGAGACGCGGAAGGCGUGGGGAGCCGAACGGG
rnacentral:rRNA from 1 species